GCUAAGUAAUAAAUCAGGAGCCCAACCCUUUCAUGGGCUCCUGAAUAGUUGUACUAUGCAUCAUGCAUCCCUUUGCAUGUGUACAUGUAGUCCCAUUCUUUCAAAUAAAAUUAGAGAGUUUGAGAGUACAUGCACCCUUAAUUAUACAUUGUGUUAUACAGGUGAGUGGUGACCCUUUACAUUAGCUACUACACAGUAAUAUUGUACCAUUCCUAUACCUGUCAUUGCUUGAUGCUUCUUCCUUUAGCUUAGGUUCGUCUCUACUUACUGAUUCAACAAACGUUUGAUCAGGAUGUAACCAAAUAAUGCAUUGUUUUAUAAUGUGUAUUUUGUGUAUCAAGCAAUGACAUAUGUCUUCAUAUGUAGCAUUUCAAGAAUCAGAAGUUUUUACCCAAAAACGGCAUACCCUCUUGUUUGCUAUAGGUGGGAAUGGAUUCUCAAAAAUUUUCACUUUUUGUUCAAGUAAAAAAUAGGCCUCAUUUUUUAAUUAGAAGAUAAUAGCAAUAGAAGAUUGAUAGCCUUAAAAUGCAAUCUCUUCUAUCAUCAUUAUGGACAACAGGAUAGUUAAUAAUCUUUUGUAUUAAUUGUACUUUAUUUUCAUUUCUACCUUUAGUUUCAAUUGCCUAUGGUAACUAGAGAGGACGCUGAAUGACUUUUAUUGUGAUUCUAAUGGAAUUUCAUUUGCCUAUUGCAGAGCUACUGCAAACUGGUUUUGUCUCUGUUAGUUUUGGCAAGGAUUUGUGUUUGUAUAUUUCUAAUUUACUUCCAUCUUUCUCUCUUCAU